rfam:Tupaia chinensis contig201718, whole genome shotgun sequence.
AUACAUACCUGGCAGGGGAGAUACCAUGAUCAUGAAGGUGGUUUUCCCAGGGCGAGGCUUAUCCAUUGCACUCUGGAUGUGCUGACCCCUGCAAUUUCCCCAAAUGUGGGAAACCCGGCUGCAUAAUUUGUGGUAGCGGGGACUGCAUUCGCACUUUCCCCUG